rnacentral:rRNA from 1 species
CGAAGGGUGCAAACGUUGCUCGGAAUCAUUGGGCGUAAAGCGCACGUAGGCGGCUUCGCAAGUCGGAUGUGAAAUCCCGUGGCUCAACCAUGGACGUGCAUUCGAAACUGCGAAGCUUGAGUAUGGAAGAGGGUCGCGGAAUUCCCGGUGUAGAGGUGAAAUUCGUAGAUAUCGGGAGGAACACCAGUGGCGAAGGCGGCGACCUGGGCCAAUACUGACGCUGAGGUGCGAAAGCGUGGGAGCAAACAGGUUAGAUACCCUGGUAGUCCACGCCGUAAACGAUGAGCGCUAGGUGCUUUGGGUAUUCGACCCCCGAGGUGCCGAAGCUAACGCGUUAAGCGCUCCGCCGUGGGGAGUACGGCCGCAAGGACUAA